UUUCGGAUUGGGCUUGAGGAAAUUAAGAGAAAAAGAAAGUUGGAGCAGCCCAAGCCCACUUGGCCCAAAAGGAGGGGCGAAUUAGACUUUUCACAAUUAAAUUUGGGAGAGGUAUUUAAGGAACACAUCCCUCUCAAACCCUAGCCACUUCCCUCAUUUUCCUUCAGCUCUCUCUCUCUCUACCCGAGACUCUCUCUCUCAUCCUCCUUGCCGGAAAUCGCUGCCGCCGCACCACCGCCGGUCGCCGCAGUCACCGGAACCCGGAUUUCAACCAAAAUUUCUAGAUUUUCUUCUCUUCCUACCCUCUUUCCAUUUCUCCAACCAAAAUCAAGAAAUUUGGCCAUCCAACCCUCCAAAAAGCCUAGAACCUGAAGCUAAAUUGGGGCUUUUUGUGAUUUCUUCUUUCCAAGCUUAAAUCAAGGCUAUGGGUUUGGCAAGGAUUUUUGGUGAAGAAGGCCAAGGAGAAGGAAUAGGACGUGAUUUUUGAAGAAGAAAGGGAAACACGAUCGUUAUGGAAGCUUAAGCGGAAAGCAUCAGAGUGUGGAGUACGCCAGCAUUAUCCAGGUAGGGUGAGCUGUCCCUUCCUUAUUAGAGGCUUUUCGAUAUAUGUGGAAUGCUCUAGUAUAAUAUUAUGUUGCCUGCAACUAUGUUUUUGGUUGUUCAU